rnacentral:rRNA from 1 species
UACGUAGGUGUCCAGCGUUGUCCGGAUUUACUGGGCGUAAAGAGCGCGCAGGCGGUCGUUCAAGUCGAGUGUGAAGGCCCCCGGCUCAACUGGGGAGGGUCACUCGAUACUGAUCGGCUUGAAGGCAGGAGAGGGAAGCGGAAUUCCCGGUGUAGUGGUGAAAUGCGUAGAUAUCGGGAGGAACACCAGUGGCGAAGGCGGCUUCCUGGCCUGUUCUUGACGCUGAGGCGCGAAAGCUAGGGGAGCAAACGGG